rnacentral:lncRNA from 13 species
GGAAGCCUACCCAACUCUCUCCUGAUCUGUCCCUCUGCUUCGAUUCCCAGACUUCACACUGCCUCAGCUCCUGCUUUCUCUCUGAAGUGAUUCCAUGUAAGAGAUCCAGCACCUCCCAUCCUGUGUAUCUUUUUUUCUCACUGUCUGAUGGCUCUUGAGCCUGCUAUGCUGCCAUGGGAACCUGCGGGAGACAGUUCUGGCUACAUAACAGCAUAGAGUCAACUUCCCUUCAAGACAGAAGAAAAGAAGUACACGCAGUAACACGUGGAAGAAAAUUCAAGAAUAGCAGACUAAUAAUCCACCCAGCAAUGGUAAACAUGGUAUGAAGCCUCCAUAAGCAAAACAGCACAGCACUUUUUCACUAUUAAAUUGAUUGAAUUGAAGGAACAAAAGUUUUCUAAACUAUAGAAAUAGAGCCAAAUAAGCAUGGACAUUUAAUACAUAGCAAAAUACCAUAACCAAUCUAUGUGAGAAAGGUCAAUUUUAUAAUAAAUACUGUUUGAGCUAAAAGUUGGCUACCA